UGGCGCACGGGUGAGUAACGCGUGAGAAUCUGGCUCCAGGUCGGGGAUAACAGUUGGAAACGACUGCUAAUACCGGAUGUGCCGAGAGGUGAAAGAUUUAUUGCCUGGAGAUGAGCUCGCGUCUGAUUAGCUAGUUGGUGGUGUAAGGGACCACCAAGGCGUCGAUCAGUAGCUGGUCUGAGAGGAUGAUCAGCCACACUGGGACUGAGACACGGCCCAGACUCCUACGGGAGGCAGCAGUGGGGAAUUUUCCGCAAUGGGCGAAAGCCUGACGGAGCAAUACCGCGUGAGGGAGGAAGGCUCUUGGGUCGUAAACCUCUUUUCUCAAGGAAGAAGAAAGUGACGUACUUGAGGAAUAAGCAUCGGCUAACUCCGUGCCAGCAGCCGCGGUAAUACGGAGGAUGCAAGCGUUAUCCGGAAUGAUUGGGCGUAAAGGGUCUGCAGGUGGAACUGAAAGUCUGCUGUUAAAGAGUUUGGCUUAACCAAAUAAAAGCGGUGGAAACUACAGAACUAGAGUGCGGUAGGGGCAAAAGGAAUUCCUGGUGUAGCGGUGAAAUGCGUAGAUAUCAGGAAGAACACCGGUGGCGAAAGCGUUUUGCUAGACCGUAACUGACACUGAGGGACGAAAGCUAGGGGAGCGAAUGGGAUUAGAUACCCCAGUAGUCCUAGCCGUAAACGAUGGAUACUAGGCGUGGCUUGUAUCGACCCGAGCCGUGCCGGAGCUAACGCGUUAAGUAUCCCGCCUGGGGAGUACGCACGCAAGUGUGAAACUCAAAGGAAUUGACGGGGGCCCGCACAAGCGGUGGAGUAUGUGGUUUAAUUCGAUGCAACGCGAAGAACCUUACCAAGACUUGACAUCCUGCGAAUCCUGGUGAAAGCUAGGAGUGCCUUAGGGAGCGCAGAGACAGGUGGUGCAUGGCUGUCGUCAGCUCGUGUCGUGAGAUGUUGGGUUAAGUCCCGCAACGAGCGCAACCCUCGUUUUUAGUUGCCAGCAUUAAGUUGGGCACUCUAGAGAGACUGCCGGUGACAAACCGGAGGAAGGUGAGGAUGACGUCAAGUCAGCAUGCCCCUUACGUCUUGGGCUACACACGUACUACAAUGCUACGGACAGAGGGCAGCAAGCCAGGGAUGGCAAGCGAAUCCAGAAACCGUAGCUCAGUUCAGAUCGAAGGCUGCAACUCGCCUUCGUGAAGGAGGAAUCGCUAGUAAUUGCAGGUCAGCAUACUGCAGUGAAUUCGUUCCCGGGCCUUGUACACACCGCCCGUCACACCAUGGAAGUUGGUCACGCCCGAAGUCAUUACCCCAACCGAAAGGAGGGGGAUGCCUAAGGUAGGACUGGUGACUGGGGUGAAGUCGUAACAAGGUAGCCGU
rnacentral:rRNA from 1 species